UACAGGGGGGGCAAGCGUUGUUCGGAAUUACUGGGCGUAAAGGGCUCGUAGGUGGCCAACUAAGUCAGACGUGAAAUCCCUCAGCUUAACUGGGGAACUGCGUCUGAUACUGGAUGGCUUGAGUUUGGGAGAGGGAUGCGGAAUUCCAGGUGUAGCGGUGAAAUGCGUAGAUAUUCGGAAGAACACCAGUGGCGAAGGCGACUUACUGGACACAUAUUGACGCUGAGGUGCGAAAGCGUGGGGAGCAAACAGG
rnacentral:rRNA from 1 species